rnacentral:tRNA from 1 species
AGCCUUGUAUUCACUCUGUGAUUAUAGAAUGCAAUUCUAUAGGGGUAAGUUAAGCUUACCAAGGCCU